GACAGAGGGGGCAAGCGUUGCUCGGAAUCACUGGGCGUAAAGGGCGCGUAGGCGGGAUGGCAAGUCGGUCGUGAAAUCCUUCGGCUCAACCGAAGAACGGCGGCCGAUACUGCCGUUCUUGAGGGAUGCAGAGGAGAUUGGAAUUCCCGGUGUAGCGGUGAAAUGUGUAGAGAUCGGGAGGAACACCGGUGGCGAAGGCGGGUCUCUGGGCAAUUCCUGACGCUGAGGCGCGAAAGCGUGGGGAGCAAACGGG
rnacentral:rRNA from 1 species